AAGACCUUGCGCUUUUGGAGCGGCCGAUGCCUGAUUAGCUUGUUGGUGAGGUAAAAGCUCACCAAGGCUUCGAUCAGUAGCUGGUCUGAGAGGACGGCCAGCCACGCUGGGACUGAGACACGGCCCAGACUCCUACGGGAGGCAGCAGUGGGGAAUUUUGGACAAUGGGCGCAAGCCUGAUCCAGCCAUGCCGCGUGAGUGAAGAAGGCCUUCGGGUUGUAAAGCUCUUUCAGCCGGGAAGAAAAGGUUGCGAUUAAUAAUCGCAAUUUAUGACGGUACCGGAAGAAGAAGCACCGGCUAACUACGUGCCAGCAGCCGCGGUAAUACGUAGGGUGCGAGCGUUAAUCGGAAUUACUGGGCGUAAAGGGUGCGCAGGCGGUUUUGUAAGUCAGAUGUGAAAUCCCCGGGCUUAACCUGGGAACU
rnacentral:rRNA from 1 species